CCUACGGGAGGCAGCAGUGGGGGAUGUUGCACAAUGGGGGAAACCCUGAUGCAGCGACGCCGCGUGAGUGAAGAAGUAUUUCGGUAUGUAAAGCUCUAUCAGCAGGGAGGAAAAAAGACGGUACCUGACUAAGAAGCACCGGCUAACUACGUGCCAGCAGCAGCGGUAAUACGUAGGGGGCAAGCGUCAGCCGGAUUUACGGGGCGUAAAGGGAGCGUAGACGGCAAUACAAGUCGGAAGUGAAAUACCCGGGCUCAACCUGGGAAUUGCUUUGGAGACUGUAUGGCUGGAGUGCUGGAGGGGUAAGUGGAAUUCCUAGUGUAGCGGUGAAAUGCGUAGAUAUGAGGAGGAAUACCGGAGGCGAAGGCAGCUUACUGGACAGUAACUGACGUUGAUGUGCGAAAGCGUGGGGAGCAAACAGGAUUAGAUACCCUUGUAGUC
rnacentral:rRNA from 1 species